rnacentral:rRNA from 1 species
GGGUUGUGAGGUUAAGCGACUAAGCGUACACGGUGGAUGCCCUGGCAGUCAGAGGCGAUGAAGGGCGUGCUAAUCUGCGAUAAGCGCCGGUAAGGUGAUAUGAACCGUUAUAACCGGCGAUACCCGAAUGGGGAAACCCAGUGUGACUCGUCACACUAUCAUUAACUGAAUCCAUAGGUUAAUGAGGCGAACCGGGGGAACUGAAACAUCUAAGUACCCCGAGGAAAAGAAAUCAACCGAGAUUCCCCCAGUAGCGGCGAGCGAACGGGGAGGAGCCCAGAGCCUGAAUCAGCAUGUGUGUUAGUGGAAGCGUCUGGAAAGGCGCGCGAUACAGGGUGACAGCCCCGUACACAAAAGCGCAUGUGCUGUGAGCUCGAUGAGUAGGGCGGGACACGUGGUAUCCUGUCUGAAUAUGGGGGGACCAUCCUCCAAGGCUAAAUACUCCUGACUGACCGAUAGUGAACCAGUACCGUGAGGGAAAGGCGAAAAGAACCCCGGCGAGGGGAGUGAAAAAGAACCUGAAACCGUGUACGUACAAGCAGUGGGAGCCCCACCACCAAAGCAUUUGCUGUACCGCGUUGACGGAGCGAAGCGACGUCAAACCGAUAAAACAGCAGUGUAAAGUGAGCCGCAGGGCGCUUUGCGCGACAGCGCAAAGGCAGGCGGUUUCGCGUAGCGAAAGCGAAUGCUUUGGGGUGGGGUGACUGCGUACCUUUUGUAUAAUGGGUCAGCGACUUAUAUUCUGUAGCAAGGUUAACCGAAUAGGGGAGCCGGAGGGAAACCGAGUCUUAAUUGGGCGUUAAGUUGCAGGGUAUAGACCCGAAACCCGGUGAUCUAGCCAUGGGCAGGUUGAAGGUUGGGUAACACUAACUGGAGGACCGAACCGACUAAUGUUGAAAAAUUAGCGGAUGACCUGUGGGUGGGGGUGAAAGGCCAAUCAAACCGGGAGAUAGCUGGUUCUCCCCGAAAGCUAUUUAGGUAGCGCCUCGUGAAUUCAUCUCCGGGGGUAGAGCACUGUUUCGGCUAGGGGGCCAUCCCGGCUUACCAACCCGAUGCAAACUGCGAAUACCGGAGAAUGUUAUCACGGGAGACACACGGCGGGUGCUAACGUCCGUCGUGAAGAGGGAAACAACCCAGACCGCCAGCUAAGGUCCCAAAGUCAUGGUUAAGUGGGAAACGAUGUGGGAAGGCCCAGACAGCCAGGAUGUUGGCUUAGAAGCAGCCAUCAUUUAAAGAAAGCGUAAUAGCUCACUGGUCGAGUCGGCCUGCGCGGAAGAUGUAACGGGGCUAAACCAUGCACCGAAGCUGCGGCAGCGACACUGUGUGUUGUUGGGUAGGGGAGCGUUCUGUAAGCCUGUGAAGGUGUGUCGUGAGGCAUGCUGGAGGUAUCAGAAGUGCGAAUGCUGACAUAAGUAACGAUAAAGCGGGUGAAAAGCCCGCUCGCCGGAAGACCAAGGGUUCCUGUCCAACGUUAAUCGGGGCAGGGUGAGUCGACCCCUAAGGCGAGGCCGAAAGGCGUAGUCGAUGGGAAACGGGUUAAUAUUCCCGUACUUGGUGUUACUGCGAAGGGGGGACGGAGAAGGCUAUGUUGGCCGGGCGACGGUUGUCCCGGUUUAAGCGUGUAGGUGUGUGUUCCAGGUAAAUCCGGUUCACUUUAACACUGAGGCGUGACGACGAGGCACUACGGUGCUGAAGCAACAAAUGCCCUGCUUCCAGGAAAAGCCUCUAAGCAUCAGGUAACAUCAAAUCGUACCCCAAACCGACACAGGUGGUCAGGUAGAGAAUACCAAGGCGCUUGAGAGAACUCGGGUGAAGGAACUAGGCAAAAUGGUGCCGUAACUUCGGGAGAAGGCACGCUGAUAUGUAGGUGAAGCGGUUUACCCGUGGAGCUGAAAUCAGUCGAAGAUACCAGCUGGCUGCAACUGUUUAUUAAAAACACAGCACUGUGCAAACACGAAAGUGGACGUAUACGGUGUGACGCCUGCCCGGUGCCGGAAGGUUAAUUGAUGGGGUCAGCGCAAGCGAAGCUCCUGAUCGAAGCCCCGGUAAACGGCGGCCGUAACUAUAACGGUCCUAAGGUAGCGAAAUUCCUUGUCGGGUAAGUUCCGACCUGCACGAAUGGCGUAAUGAUGGCCAGGCUGUCUCCACCCGAGACUCAGUGAAAUUGAACUCGCUGUGAAGAUGCAGUGUACCCGCGGCAAGACGGAAAGACCCCGUGAACCUUUACUAUAGCUUGACACUGAACAUUGAGCCUUGAUGUGUAGGAUAGGUGGGAGGCUUUGAAGUGUGGACGCCAGUCUGCAUGGAGCCGACCUUGAAAUACCACCCUUUAAUGUUUGAUGUUCUAACGUGGACCCGUUACCCGGGUUGCGGACAGUGUCUGGUGGGUAGUUUGACUGGGGCGGUCUCCUCCUAAAGAGUAACGGAGGAGCACGAAGGUUGGCUAAUCCUGGUCGGACAUCAGGAGGUUAGUGCAAUGGCAUAAGCCAGCUUGACUGCGAGCGUGACGGCGCGAGCAGGUGCGAAAGCAGGUCAUAGUGAUCCGGUGGUUCUGAAUGGAAGGGCCAUCGCUCAACGGAUAAAAGGUACUCCGGGGAUAACAGGCUGAUACCGCCCAAGAGUUCAUAUCGACGGCGGUGUUUGGCACCUCGAUGUCGGCUCAUCACAUCCUGGGGCUGAAGUAGGUCCCAAGGGUAUGGCUGUUCGCCAUUUAAAGUGGUACGCGAGCUGGGUUUAGAACGUCGUGAGACAGUUCGGUCCCUAUCUGCCGUGGGCGCUGGAGAACUGAGGGGGGCUGCUCCUAGUACGAGAGGACCGGAGUGGACGCAUCACUGGUGUUCGGGUUGUCAUGCCAAUGGCACUGCCCGGUAGCUAAAUGCGGAAGAGAUAAGUGCUGAAAGCAUCUAAGCACGAAACUUGCCCCGAGAUGAGUUCUCCCUGAGACUUAGAGUCUCCUGAAGGAACGUUGAAGACGACGACGUUGAUAGGCCGGGUGUGUAAGCGCAGCGAUGCGUUGAGCUAACCGGUACUAAUGAACCGUGAGGCUUAACCUUACAACGCCGAAG